AUUGAACGCUGGCGGCAUGCUUUACACAUGCAAGUCGAACGGUAACAGGUUAAGCUGACGAGUGGCGGACGGGUGAGUAAUGCAUCGGAACGUGCCCGGUCGUGGGGGAUAACGCAGCGAAAGCUGCGCUAAUACCGCAUACGAUCUGAGGAUGAAAGCGGGGGACCGUAAGGCCUCGCGCGAUCGGAGCGGCCGAUGUCAGAUUAGGUAGUUGGUGGGGUAAAGGCUCACCAAGCCAACGAUCUGUAGCUGGUCUGAGAGGACGACCAGCCACACUGGGACUGAGACACGGCCCAGACUCCUACGGGAGGCAGCAGUGGGGAAUUUUGGACAAUGGGCGAAAGCCUGAUCCAGCAAUGCCGCGUGCAGGAAGAAGGCCUUCGGGUUGUAAACUGCUUUUGUACGGAGCGAAAAGGUCUCCUCUAAUACAGGGGGCUCAUGACGGUGCCGUAAGAAUAAGCACCGGCUAACUACGUGCCAGCAGCCGCAGUAA
rnacentral:rRNA from 1 species